CAGUAGCCGCGGUAAUACGUAGGGUGCGAGCGUUAAUCGGAAUUACUGGGCGUAAAGCGUGCGCAGGCGGUUCGUUAAGACAGAUGUGAAAUCCCCGGGCUUAACCUGGGAACUGCAUUUGUGACUGGCGAGCUAGAGUAUGGCAGAGGGGGGUAGAAUUCCACGUGUAGCAGUGAAAUGCGUAGAUAUGUGGAGGAAUACCGAUGGCGAAGGCAGCCCCCUGGGCCAAUACUGACGCUCAUGCACGAAAGCGUGGGGAGCAAGCAGGAUUAGAUACCCGAGUAGUCCCUGUCUCUUAUAC
rnacentral:rRNA from 1 species